rnacentral:rRNA from 1 species
CAUGCAGUCGAGCGGUAACAGGGGUAGCUUGCUACCCGCUGACGAGCGGCGGACGGGUGAGUAAUGCAUAGGAAUCUGCCCGAUAGUGGGGGAUAACCUGGGGAAACCCAGGCUAAUACCGCAUACGUCCUACGGGAGAAAGGGGGCUUCGGCUCCCGCUAUUGGAUGAGCCUAUGUCGGAUUAGCUAGUUGGUGAGGUAAAGGCUCACCAAGGCGACGAUCCGUAGCUGGUCUGAGAGGAUGAUCAGCCACAUCGGGACUGAGACACGGCCCGAACUCCUACGGGAGGCAGCAGUGGGGAAUAUUGGACAAUGGGCGAAAGCCUGAUCCAGCCAUGCCGCGUGUGUGAAGAAGGCCCUCGGGUUGUAAAGCACUUUCAGCGAGGAAGAACGCCUAGUGGUUAAUACCCAUUAGGAAAGACAUCACUCGCAGAAGAAGCACCGGCUAACUCCGUGCCAGCAGCCGCGGUAAUACGGAGGGUGCAAGCGUUAAUCGGAAUUACUGGGCGUAAAGCGCGCGUAGGUGGCUUGAUAAGCCGGUUGUGAAAGCCCCGGGCUCAACCUGGGAACGGCAUCCGGAACUGUCAAGCUAGAGUGCAGGAGAGGAAGGUAGAAUUCCCGGUGUAGCGGUGAAAUGCGUAGAGAUCGGGAGGAAUACCAGUGGCGAAGGCGGCCUUCUGGACUGACACUGACACUGAGGU